GCCCCCGUAGCUUAAUGGAUAAAGCAAAGCUCUUCUAAGGCUUUGAUAGGGGUUCGAUUCCCUUCGGGGGCA
rnacentral:tRNA from 1 species